AACGAACGCUGGCGGCAUGCCUAACACAUGCAAGUCGAACGAGACCUCCGGGUCUAGUGGCGCAUGCGUGCGUAACGCGUGGGAACCUGCCCUUAGGCUCGGAAUAACUCCCCGACAGGGGUGCUAAUACCGGAUAAUUUCCUCGGACCAGAGGUUUAUCGUCUUUGCAUGGGCGCGAGUUGGAUUAGCUAGUUGGUAGGGUAAAAGCCUGCCAAGGCGACGCUACAUAGCUGGUCUGAGAGGAUGAUCAGCCACACUAGGGCUGAGACACGGCACAGACUCUUGCGGGAGGCGGCAGAGGGGAAUAUUGGACAAUGGGCGAGAGGCUGAACCAGCGAUGCCGCGUGAGUGAUAAAGUCCGGAGGGUAGUGAAGGACUUUUAGACGGGAUGGUGAUGACAGUACCGGGAGAAUAAGCACCGGCUAACUCCAUG
rnacentral:rRNA from 1 species